AACGAACGCUGGCGGCAUGCCUAACACAUGCAAGUCGAACGAGACCUUCGGGUCUAGUGGCGCACGGGUGCGUAACGCGGGGGAACCUGCCCUUAGGUUCGGAAUAACUCCCCGAAAGGGGUGCUAAUACCGGAUAAUGUCUUCGGACCAAAGAUUUAUCGCCUUUGGAUGGGCCCGCGUUGGAUUAGCUAGUUGGUAGGGUAAAAGCCUACCAAGGCGACGAUCCAUAGCUGGUCUGAGAGGAUGAUCAGCCACACUGGGACUGAGACACGGCCCAGACUCCUACGGGAGGCAGCAGUGGGGAAUAUUGGACACUGGGCGAAAGCCUGAUCCAGCAAUGCCGCGUGAGUGAUGAAGGCCUUAGGGUUGUAAAGCUCUUUUACCCGGGAUGAUAAUGACAGUACCGGGAGAAUAAGCUCCGGCUAACUCCGUG
rnacentral:rRNA from 1 species